UACGAAGGGGGCUAGCGUUGCUCGGAAUCACUGGGCGUAAAGGGCGCGUAGGCGGCCCGCUAAGUCGAACGUGAAAUCCCCGGGCUCAACCCGGGAACUGCGUCCGAUACUGGUGGGCUUGAAUCCGGGAGAGGGAUGCGGAAUUCCAGGUGUAGCGGUGAAAUGCGUAGAUAUCUGGAGGAACACCGGUGGCGAAGGCGGCAUCCUGGACCGGUAUUGACGCUGAGGCGCGAAAGCCAGGGGAGCAAACGGG
rnacentral:rRNA from 1 species